rnacentral:misc_RNA from 1 species
GAUGAAGAACGUAGCGAAAUGCGAUAAGUAGUGUGAAUUGCAGAAUUCAGUGAAUCAUCGAAUCUUUGAACGCACAUUGCACCCCUUGGUAUUCCAUGGGGCAUGCCUGUUCGAGCGUCAUUUGUACCUUCAAGCCUUGCUUGGUGUUGGGUGUUUGUCUCGCCUCUGCGCGCAGACUCGCCUCAAAACAAUUGGCAGCCGGCGUAUUGAUUUCGGAGCGCAGUACAUCUCGCGCUUUGCACUCAGAACGACGACGUCCAAAAGUACAUUUUUACACUCUUGACCUCGGAUCAGGUAGGGAUACCCGCUGAACUUAAGCAUAUCAAUAAGCGGAGGA